rnacentral:rRNA from 1 species
CCUACGGGUGGCAGCAGUGGGGAAUAUUGCACAAUGGGGGAAACCCUGAUGCAGCGACGCCGCGUGAGGGAUGAAGUAUUUCGGUAUGUAAAGCUCUAUCAGCAGGGAAGAAAAUGACGGUACCUGACUAAGAAGCCCCGGCUAACUACGUGCCAGCAGCCGCGGUAAGACGUAGGGGGCAAGCGUUAUCCGGAUUUACGGGGUGUAAAGGGAGCGGAGACGGCGCUGCAAGCCAGAUGUGAAAGCCCGGGGCUCAACCCCGGGACUGCAUUUGGAACUGUAUAGCUGGAGUGUCGGAGAGGCAGGCGCACUUCCUCGUGUAGCGGUGCAAUGCGUAGAUAUUAGGAGGACCACCAGUGGC